GCUGAUAUGAAAAGGCUGGAGUCUUUCCACAACAGAUCCCCAAGAAACGCUUGCCUUGUUUUCUGGCUCAACAAGAUAUCCAACCAGGAGCUUCACACUCAGACCCAAAGCCAUAAUAUCCUUCAUGAGAUCACAGUGAUGCUAAGCUGGCUAGAACAUUUUCUGAGUAUAGACCACAACCAGAUUCUACAAAACAGUCUCCAGAUGAAUCCUAUCAGGUAUGAACUCGCUGCGUGCCAAUCUCCCCCUAUGGAGGGAGCUAAGAAGGGAAGAGGCUCGAGCUGUAGCAGCAAACGCUGGGAGUGAGCUGUUAACUCCCACACAUACCAGGAGCUGAAAGGUCUGCAAUGUUCACUUCUCAGCAGAAGCAGGACACUUCGGAGACAGUCCCUGUGCUGAUAAUCUUUCAUGGUGUGAGAACAAAUCCUGGAUGAAGCUGGCUCUAACACCAAGCCUAAUACUUUAGCCAAAGGUUCCUCAGCUGGCAGCCCAUUGUGUCCAGAAAGAGCAAUGCACACAUCCGUCUAUUUAGGUCAGUCUUUGUCUCUUGGUGCCAUCAUAGCCUUAAAAUUGUAGUCAAAUUGCACCCUG